GGGCGGUUAGCUCAGAUUGGUAGAGCAUUUCGUUUACACCGAAGAGGUCGGCAGUUCGAGCCUGUCACCGCCCA
rnacentral:tRNA from 1 species